GAUGAACGCUGGCGGCGUGCCUAAUACAUGCAAGUCGAGCGAACAGACGAGGAGCUUGCUCCUCUGACGUUAGCGGCGGACGGGUGAGUAACACGUGGAUAACCUACCUAUAAGAAUGGGAUAACUUCGGGAAAACGGAGCUAAUACCGGAUAAUAUAUUGAACCGCAUGGUUCAAUAGUGAAAGACGGUUUUGCUGUCACUUAUAGAUGGAUCCGCGCCGCAUUAGCUAGUUGGUAAGGUAACGGCUUACCAAGGCAACGAUGCGUAGCCGACCUGAGAGGGUGAUCGGCCACACUGGAACUGAGACACGGUCCAGACUCCUACGGGAGGCAGCAGUAGGGAAUCUUCCGCAAUGGGCGAAAGCUUGACGGAGCAACGCCGCGUGAGUGAUGAAGGUCUUCGGAUCGUAAAACUCUGUUAUUAGGGAAGAACAAAUGUGUAAGUAACUAUGCACGUCUUGACGGUACCUAAUCAGAAAGCCACGGCUAACUACGUG
rnacentral:rRNA from 1 species